UACGGAGGGUGCAAGCGUUAAUCGGAAUUACUGGGCGUAAAGCGUGCGUAGGCGGUUCGUUAAGUCUGUUGUGAAAGCCCCGGGCUCAACCUGGGAAUGGCAAUGGAUACUGGCGAGCUAGAGUGUGUCAGAGGAUGGUGGAAUUCCCGGUGUAGCGGUGAAAUGCGUAGAGAUCAUGAGGAAGACCAGUGGCGAAGGCGGGUCUCUGGACAGUUCCUGACACUGAGGCACGAAGGCCAGGGGAGCAAACGGG
rnacentral:rRNA from 1 species